rnacentral:rRNA from 1 species
CACUUCUAAGGAAGGCAGCAGGCGCGCAAAUUACCCAAUCCUGACUCAGGGAGGUAGUGACAAGAAAUAACAAUAAACCGGCUUAUGCCGGUUUAAUUGGAAUGAGUACAAUUUAAACAUCUUAACGAGGAACAAUUGGAGGGCAAGUCUGGUGCCAGCAGCCGCGGUAAUUCCAGCUCCAAUAGCGUAUACUAAAGUUGUUGCAGUUAAAAAGCUCGUAGUUGGAUUUCUGUGGGGACGGAGCGGCCGGCCGCACAUCGCGGUUCGAGCUAGCGCUUUCCCUACAUCCUGCCGCGAACCGUGCUACCAUUAGUUUGGUGGCGCCGGGGAUCGGCUCGAUUACUUUGAGAAAAAUAGAGUGUUCAAAGCAGGCCACAUGCCUUGAAUAAGUUAGCAUGGAAUAAUAACUAAGGACUUCGGUUCUAUUUUGUUGGUGUUCGGGACUGAAGUAAUGAUUGAUAGGGACAGUUGGGGCGGUCUGUAUUCCAAAGCGAGAGGUGAAAUUCUUAGACCUUCGGAAGACAAACAGCUGCGAAAGCGUUCCGCAAGGAUGUUCCCUUUGAUCAAGAACGAAAGUUGGGGGAUCGAAGACGAUCAGAUACCGUCGUAGUCUCAACUAUAAACUAUACCAGCUAGGGAUCGGCCAACGUUAUUUUAUACCGACUUGGUCGGCACCUUAUGAGAAAUCAAAGCAUCUGGGUUCCGGGGGGAGUAUGGUCGCAAGGCUGAAACUUAAAGGAAUUGACGGAAGGGCACCACCAGCCGUGGAGCCUGUGGCUUAAUUUGACUCAACACGGGAAAACUUACCAGGUCCAGACAUAGUAAGGAUUGACAGAUUGAUAGCUCUUUCUUGAUUCUGUGGGUGGUGGUGCAUGGCCGUUCUUAGUUGGUGGAGUGAUUUGUCUGGUUAAUUCCGUUAACGAACGAGACCCCAGCCUGCUAAAUAGCGCGCGUGAGCUUUGCUCGCGGCGAGCUUCUUAGAGGGACUAUGAUGCGCGAUAGCACAUGGAAGUUUGGGGCAAUAACAGGUCUGUGAUGCCCUUAGAUGUUCUGGGCCGCACACGGGCUACACUGGCGCCUGCAACGAGCAUAUCAGCUGGCCCGAGAGGGUCUUGGCUAAUCUUUUGAACCGGCGCCGUGCUUGGGAUUGACCUUUGCAAUUGUUGGUCAUGCAACGAGGAAUGCCUUGUAAACGCGAGUCAUCAGCUCGCAUUGAAUACGUCCCUGCCCUUUGUACACACCGCCCGCCGCUCCUACCGAUGAAUGUUCCGAUGAAAUUUUCGGAGAGCACCUGUGAACUUGGCUCCGCCUUGCGAACGGGAGGCUCAAAGUCACUUAAAUCUGAACAUUUCGAGG